UUCAAAACAAUGACUGUCUUUGAAACCACAGAAGCCAACCUAGAAGGAAGCUGUAUGCCAGGGUUUUGUUGUAGCUGAGCAGUUUCUAAAGCUAGAGUGUCACCAAGUGGUCAGGAAUGGAAAUAAGCUGCCGGUUUGUAUUCACAUCCUCUGGCCAGCCCCAACUCUGCCCCUGGGCAGCCGGAGAAUACAGUCCAUCUCCUUCGAGCAGGGCACCAAAACUGCUGGGGAGAAAACAGUGUCCCAGACGCCGCUUGCACCUUACAGCAACAUUCUGUCAUAGAUACUAAUAGGAGCAGAGGACUGGAGAAGUGCUUAGGACAAUGAGACCUCAGAGAGUAAGGACCUCACAAGAAGAGACAAGGACAAGGUCUGCAGUGAUCUGCGGCAGGUGCUGACAUACCCGGGAUCCAGACCAGCAAUUCACACGCCAUC
rnacentral:lncRNA from 1 species